rnacentral:rRNA from 1 species
AGGGCACCACCAGGAGUGGAGCCUGCGGCUUAAUUUGACUCAACACGGGGAAACUCACCAGGUCCAGACACAAUAAGGAUUGACAGAUUGAGAGCUCUUUCUUGAUUUUGUGGGUGGUGGUGCAUGGCCGUUCUUAGUUGGUGGAGUGAUUUGUCUGCUUAAUUGCGAUAACGAACGAGACCUUAACCUGCUAAAUAGUGCGACCAGCGGAUUUUAGCUGGUGGAGACACUUCUUAGAGGGACUAUCUAUUUCAAGUAGAUGGAAGUUUGAGGCA